CGUUACUCCCACCUCCCGCGUACUCUCUCUCCAGCGAUACGGAUCGCCCCUCUCUCUCUCUCUCCUCUCACGCGCAAUCUCCGCUCCGCUCCGCUCCUUCUCUCCCAUCGCUCCCUCUCUCCCCGCCCUCUCUCCAGCCGUCGCCUCAACUCGUCGACGCCGUCGACUCACCUCGCCAGAACAGCUGAACAGCGACGGCCCCAUUGCUCUCGGCGCCGCAUCCCGCCCCUCCGCCGUCGUCGUCACCCGCGAUCCCUCCUCCCUUGGUACGCCGCCGGACGGUUUCCGUUGCGCCGUCGCCGACGAUCCCUCACCGUCACCUGCGAUCACCACCCCCGCCCCCUGCCAUCCGCUGGUCCUCACGCCGACCGCUGAUGGUCCUCCCCUCCAGUAAAGAUCAGUCUGAACAGCUGCUUCCCAUACGCAAACUGUUGCGAUGUGCUUAUGGUCGAGGCGGUUGUGAACCAAAUCAGCACAUCAACCUCGGCCUUGACACAUUCAGUCGUUCAGAGAUCAAUCAACGGAAGCAGUGGCAGAUGGCACUGGGCGUGCAAUGGCAGGUGUGCACGAAUAAGAUCAUGGUACGAUGUGCAUAUUCGACAGACUGUGAAGGGCUCACUCUGGUGAAUCAGAGUUCAAGUGAAGGAUUGAGGAAGGGUUGAAGGGAGAAUUUGAUCAACUUGCUUUGGUUCAUUUGCUUUGGACCCAGAAAUUAUGGUUCUUUUGCUCAUUUAAUAUAAUUUGUUAAUCAUGCUUGACCACUUGCAUAUUCUGUAUUGGUUAUUUCUUCCAGUUUGAUGAACAAGCUUGUGGGCAUUUGUUGUUUUAUAGAAGUUCAGUGCGUCUACAUGGAGGAUAGGGAACCACUAUACACCUUUCAACAACCUGAAUUCAUGUUAUAUAGUGCUAUGACUAUGCAAAUUCAUGCCAUAUGACUCAUCUCCAAACUCAUCUUAAUGGUGGUGAACAGUGGCACUUCCCUUAUCGGUUCCAUGACAAUCGUGCUGAGUUCUGGCACCAUGUCACCAUGAACUCUCUUCAGUGGCUCCUGUGGCUGUUGUUGCGAUUGGUGCCAUUCUUGUGCCCGGACGCAGUGCAUACCAAGAAUUUCAUGGAGGGAACUCUUUUGCAGUACGGGGGACAUGAGGAACUUCAAAUGGUUCAUGAGAUGGAGCUGCUGACUCCCUACUGCUGAACUAUUUUUGAUCUAGACCUGUUGUUUCUCUGAAAAUGUGUUGUUUUCUUUUGUAGUAUGAGGGGUUGCCAUGUUUGCUUGUUAUAACAAUGUGCACAAGCACAGGAAUUCUUCGUUUAUAUAUAGAGCACAAUUAAAACAUUUUUCUA